rnacentral:rRNA from 1 species
CACGUAGGCACCAAGCGUUGUCCGGAUUUAUUGGGCGUAAAGAGCUCGUAGGCGGUCUGUCGCGUCUGCUGUGAAAACUCAGGGCUUAACCCUGAGCUUGCAGUGGGUACGGGCAGACUAGAGUGCGGUAGGGGAGACUGGAAUUCCUGGUGUAGCGGUGAAAUGUGCAGAUAUCAGGAGGAACACCGGUGGCGAAGGCGGGUCUCUGGGCCGUAACUGACGCUGAGGAGCGAAAGCAUGGGGAGCGAACAGG